GUUUUUAUUAGGAGAGGUCAGUUAUUCCGAGGGGCAGAUUUUUCUAUCAACUGAUCAAGAAAUCUGCUGGAAGCUUUGCCAUCUUAGGAAUCCAGGUUGAAAGAAAACCAUGCAAAAUGCGGCUCUGGGAGAGUGAGUUCCUUUCUGAACAGGGCUGGCCCUGAUUUGACCCUGCCUCUCCAAGGUCCCAGCAACUCUUGGACGGAAAACCGAAAUGUUAUACAUAUUUGUCAUUCUAGUUUCCCAGCCUUUAAACAUCCUUCCCAUUUGGGGGGAACCCCAGAAUAGAGGGAAGGCAAGACCCCGAUUCCUACUUUAGAAGCCAAAGAGGGCAGAGAGUUUCUAUCUGUGCCCCAGAAACUAGGAAACCAGCACAUCACUUGGGCUCAGCCCAUCAGAGACCCCAUCAUGUCAUCUAGGACCUGAAGCCUGUGGGGAGGCAGAAGUCAUUUGCAGUGGCUGUGGUGGAUUUGAGUGCCCGCAAGCAUAGCAACCAAUGCCUGAUCAGAGCCCAGCAGCAUUAUGACACGUGUCCAGCAGUGACAGCAGCAGCGGCGCACCCUAAGUGGACUAUCCCUCUGGCAAGAUCUUGGCUGUGUCCUGCCUCCCUCAAUUUUUAUUCAUUUUCAUCACCUGGUUCUCUAGCCUUCCCACUGAUUCUGUGAGCUGCACAACACUCUUCCAAUAAGUUCACUUUCCGCUCAAGUCAACUAGGAGAGAUUUUGCUUGGUAGCAACCAAGAAUUCCGACUGGUCUGCCAACGUCCUCCCAUGGACACAUGAUCCAGUAACAAGUUAGUAUGGAGGGCUUGAUUGGGCCAUUUCCUUGUCCCAGGUGGACCAUUCCGCCAUGUGUGAAUUGCUUUACCCUCAGUCUGAAGGAGCUGUCCGCACUCCAAGGACAGACACAGAGGACCUUAGAAGACAAGCGCUAUGGAACCCCAAGCAAACCAAGAUAACUGACUAGAAGUGGGAGGAACAACCGACGGCUUCUCCGCAGGCAGGUGGAUGUGUCCACUUAAGCACGAAUGAAAAGGCGAAUUCUCAGGAUGCUUUCCCCAGAGUGCCCUGGCUGGGACAAAACAAAGACCUGGUACAACAAGUGGCCUUAGAUCCUGAGGCAGAGGUGCCCUCCCCAACCCCCUCCACCC
rnacentral:lncRNA from 1 species